GGCGAAGAAGUUGGCGGUGGAGUGGAAGGGGAAGGUGUCGGAGGGCAGCGGAGAUAAUGGUCUGGAGGUAAUGGGGUUCUUGCAGUUGCUGGCGUCGUAUGGCUUGGCGGCGGAAUUUGGGACAGAGGAAUUGUUGGAGGUACUGACUGUGAUCUCGCGGAGGAAGCAGGUGCCGGAAUUGAUCAAGAACCUCGGUCUUACUGAUAAGUUGCCCGAUCUUAUUCAGAAACUGAGCAACAAGGGGAAACGACUUGA
rnacentral:misc_RNA from 1 species